rnacentral:lncRNA from 1 species
CGUCCAUAAAAACAUCAGUCUCUCAUUCAGACUCGCAGAGGUAUUUCUGCUGAUGUUCUGACUGCUUCUUGGACAGAUGAGGAAUCUGAAGGAAAGGCCAUUAGUGUGCACUCUCUUGUCCUUCACCAGGUACGCAUCUAAAGCCAGAUCUCAGGUGAGUCUCUGUGCUCCAUAUAUGAAGAUUUCACAGGCUGCAGACGGACGGCCAGUGUGAGUCCAGAGAGUUUGAGGUCCCUGGU